GACGAACGCUGGCGGCGUGCCUAAUACAUGCAAGUCGAGCGAUGAAGCUCGGUGCUUGCACCCAUUUGAAGAGCAGCGAACGGGUGAGUAACGCGUGGGGAAUCUGCCUUUGAGCGGGGGACAACAUUUGGAAACGAAUGCUAAUACCGCAUAACAACUUUAAACAUAAGUUUUAAGUUUGAAAGAUGCAAUUGCAUCACUCAAAGAUGAUCCCGCGUUGUAUUAGCUAGUUGGUGAGGUAAAGGCUCACCAAGGCGAUGAUACAUAGCCGACCUGGGAGGGUGAGCGGCCACAUUGGGACUGAGACACGGCCCAAAGUCCUACGGGAGGCAGCAGUAGGGAAUCUUCGGCAAUGGACGGAAGUCUGACCGAGCAACGCCGCGUGAGUGAAGAAGGUUUUCGGGUCGUAAAACUCUGUUGGUAGAGAAGAAAGUUGGUGAGAGUGGAAAGCUCAUCAAGUGACGGUAACUACCCAGAAAGGGACGGCUAACUACGUG
rnacentral:rRNA from 1 species